rnacentral:rRNA from 1 species
UAGAGUUUGAUCCUGGCUCAGGAUGAACGCUAGCGACAGGCUUAACACAUGCAAGUCGAGGGGCAGCGGGGAGGUAGCAAUACUUCCGCCGGCGACCGGCGCACGGGUGAGUAGCACGUAUGGAACCUGCCCGUAGCAGGGGGAUAAGCGGAAGAAAUUCCGUCUAAUACCGCGUAAUAACUCCGAGAGGCAUCUCAUGGGGUUUAAAGGGUGACACCGGCUACGGAUGGCCAUGCGGCGCAUUAGCUAGUUGGCGGGGUAACGGCCCACCAAGGCGACGAUGCGUAGGGGUUCUGAGAGGAAGGUCCCCCACACUGGUACUGAGACACGGACCAGACUCCUACGGGAGGCAGCAGUGAGGAAUAUUGGUCAAUGGGCGAGAGCCUGAACCAGCCAAGUCGCGUGAGGGAGUACUGCCCUAUGGGUUGUAAACCUCUUUUGUCGGGGAGCAAAAGCCGGACGUGUCCGUCUGUGAGAGUACCCGAAGAAAAAGCAUCGGCUAACUCCGUGCCAGCAGCCGCGGUAAUACGGAGGAUGCGAGCGUUAUCCGGAUUUAUUGGGUUUAAAGGGUGCGCAGGCGGAUUUUUAAGUCAGCGGUCAAAUCGUGGGGCUCAACCCCAUCCAGCCGUUGAAACUGGGGAUCUAGAGUGUGCGAGAGGUAUGCGGAAUGCGUGGUGUAGCGGUGAAAUGCAUAGAUAUCACGCAGAACCCCGAUUGCGAAGGCAGCAUACCGGUGCACAACUGACGCUCAGGCACGAAAGCGUGGGUAUCGAACAGGAUUAGAUACCCUGGUAGUCCACGCAGUAAACGAUGAAUGCUACCUGUUUGGCCAGAUUGAUGGCUGAGCGGGACAGCGAAAGCGUUAAGCAUUCCACCUGGGGAGUACGCCGG